CCAAAAACAUCGCCUCUUGACGAACUAUAAGAGGUCUAGCCUGCCCAGUGAUAAAUUCAACGGCCGCGGUAUCCUAACCGUGCGAAGGUAGCAUAAUCACUUGUUCUUUAAAUAGGGACUCGUAUCAACGGCAUCACGAGGGUUACACUGUCUCCUCCCUCCAAUCAGUGAAAUUGAUCUCCCCGUGAAGAAGCGGGGAUGAACUAAUAAGACGAGAAGACCCCAUGGAGCUUUAAACCUCACAGCAACUCUAAUAUUUAAUUCCUCAUAAUUUACAGGGCAGUGCACGUCGGUUUUAGGUUGGGGCGACCGCGGAGUAAAAAUUAACCUCCACAACGAAAAGAACUAAAUCUUUAUUUAAGAGCAACUACUCUAAAAAUUAGCAUACUAACGAACAAUGAUCCGAUUAUCGAUCAACGGACCAAGUUACCCUGGGGAUAACAGCGCAAUCUACUUCAAGAGCCCAUAUCAACAAGUAGGCUUACGACCUCGAUGUUGGAUCAGGGUAUCCCGGUGGUGCAGCCGCUACUAAUGGUUCGUUUGUUCAACGAUUAAAACCCUACGUGAUCUGA
rnacentral:rRNA from 1 species